rnacentral:lncRNA from 1 species
AGUAGGAGACUGCGAUUAGAAUGCAAUUUAUUUAUGUCUAUAGCAGGUAGGAGCUAAUUGUAUGUCCAUUCCAGAUAAAUGGGAUUUGGUUAAGCUUUUUUUAUGUGAUAAUGACCAAUUUUUUAUUUAUUACCGAUUUGUUUUUGGAUCCUAUAUGAUGAAUGAAACAGUGUAUGUACUAUUUUAUGGUUAUGUUAAUCUCAACAUAGGGUUGCUAGAAAUUAUAUACUAAUCAACUAAAGCUUUUAAGUUGAAUAAUAUCCAUUAUAAAUGGGAGUGGAGUUUUUGUAUAGGGGAUCAUGAAGCAAUCUGUGCAAACUACAGAUUAUAAGCUUAACUCAUUGGUAUUGAACCAAACAGAUUAUGCAAAGAUGAAUGUGUGAGGAUACUUGAUCAGGCAAGAGGUUUCUAGGAUAGAUCAUGUUACAAAGAUAAAUUCUGCAGCAAAUAAACAUGUAAUGGAAGGAGAUUUAUAUGAAAUAUGAACGCGACCCAUUUCCCUCAAUCAUAUAUGUAUUGUUGAAUCUGGAUCAUCAAGGUGCUCUAUCAAAACAAUCAACAAAGGUAGUUUCUCCUUUGGAUUAUUGGGGGAAGAUUGCUUGUUGGUAUAAGAACAUGACCAACACCAACAUUGGUCAUGUUGUAUAUGACAUGAUGCACCCCCAAAAUAUUGUGUUGGUGAAAAUUUUCAAUGACAUUUCGUUUAUCUUAUUAAUAAACAUAACUAAACGUUUUCAAUAUUCUCAUACAUAUACUUGAACUUAACAACAAAAAGAGAUAAACGUGGGAAUAGACAGAGUGCUUUGGUUAUUGAUCGAAUACCAAUAUUACAAUAUUUAAAAAUCUCCAUCUUUGAAAGACAUUGGUAGCAUCACAUGAGCAAUGGGGUCUCUCUUCACCUUCCAUUUCUUGAACUGUUUUGAAGCAGCUUUCAAUGCCCUGCCCCAUCUCUGUAUCAAAUAGCACCCACAACCACAAGUUAUCACCAAUAAUUACUUCAAUUUCAACAUUUUACUAAGCUAAUCAAUUCAAUUAAUCUACAUAAAAAUCUCAACAAUAGUAAAGUGACCAAAAAGUUUUCAAGGCUCUAAAUACUUAUUACAAACUAUCACUGUGUGUUAAAAAAAAAAAAUAAAAUAAAAUAAAAUUUUGAUGAAUACCCAUUUUCAUAAACCAGAACACAAAAUAAAAGAUAUGCUUAAAAAACAUAAACCAAUUGAUAAAUAAAUGUAAUAACAUAAAAAGUAACAAAUAAGUUAAAAAGAAAUACCUUAUUAUUGAUGAUGGGGUUACAAGCACAUUUGAUCCUUGAAGGUGUUGGAGAGAAAUCAGAAGCAAUCUUCUUGUUCUUAAUGAAACCAAAUUUGAGAUUGAAGGAAUUAGAAGUGAACUUCUUCCUAAGCUUAGAACCAACCUUGUUGACACUGCAUCUAGCUCCUAAGGCAAUGUCAUAGGAAAGUUUCUUUGGAGUAAUGAGAUCCAAAUCCAUGGGAGAGUAGGGUCUUGGAACCAAAGGGGACCAGAUUGUGCUUUGAGAGUAGUCAAAAUCAUAAGCAGAGUUAUCUGGGAAUUUGCAGAGAAGCUCUAGUGACAUGAAUGGUUCUAAAUAUUCAACAACUUUUGUAGUGUUCAGUAACAAUGGUUGUUGUUGUUGUUGUUGUUCUGCUUCUUCUACAGAUUUCAUUGCUGAAUCAAAGUGUUACUGUUUGGUUAGUUACUUUCUUUGUUUUCUUCAAAAGCUUUGGUUUGGUUGGAUUUGUUUUGCAUUGUAAUCCAAUAAAGGAGGAGAGAGAAAUAAACGACAAAAAAAGGAGCCGUUGUAUGUCAUGUCACAACUUAUUUUAUAUAAAUAAAAGUAGCAAACAAAUAAAUAAAGGAUAUUAUUACUUCCAUCAACGUUUAAUACCAAUAUUACAUAUAAAAUACCCUCUACGUUCUUUUUUAUAAAAAGUAAUUAGACUAAUUUUUGUCCCAAUUAUAAAAAGGAAACUUCUACGAAUUGAGGUGCACUGAUACACUCAAAUUUUUGGAUGUAACAUAGAAUUUGCUUUAUAAAAAAAUAUAAUAUAUAAAAACAUUUUCAACAAAUCAGAGAACUGUGAGAAACAUGGGUGGAGAAAGAGUCCCAUUUUCAUGGUAUGUAUCCUUGAGAAAGUCCAAUAGCAUGAAUGCUAAAACAAGUUAAUUAAUCCGCUUGUUUUCGGUAGUUGUUUCUUUCAUAGCUACUCGAAAUUAAAACCAUUUGAUUUUUUUUUAUUAUUAAAAAGUUUAUGUGAGUUAGAUCUUGAAUUAACUAGAACUGAUAUAGACUUUAAGGUUCAAAAAAUUGUUGAUAAAAUAUUAGAGAUUAUCCACCAACAAGGUCAUUACAAGAAUUGAAGAUUUACCCUUGUUUUUUGAAGUGCGUAUUCAAAUUGAAUAAAUUAUUUAAAAGCACUAGAGCACGUAAAUUUUCUAAUUUUCACAGACAUGUAUGGCAUAAGUGAUAAACACUUGAGCCCAUUAACCAUUUGUUUUUGGCUUCAGUUCCUAACUCGGAUGCAUGGAAAAACAUACGUCUGCACGCGCGAGAAUAUCUUGGUUUACCAAAAUAUACUACUACUUUUCUGUGUGAAAUGACUAUAUUUGAACCGAUUCCUAAUCACCUAAGAUUGAGCACAUAAAAUGCCGUUAAAAAAAAUUAAGUACAUAUAAAUAUGACCAUAGAUCUAUCUCAUAUAGUUCUUUGAGUGCAUAGCAAGCAAAACGAAAGUGCAUGUCCAAGCAAGAAUAUAUUCCUCACAAAAUAAUUGAUGAACUCUAUUUUAUACGUACUAAUAGUAUCCAAAUUCCAAAGAAAUGCAAUGCACCACUUAACCUUUAUCCUUUUAGAAAAUUGUUAGCUUAUAAUUAACAUAUCACAAAGUGACAGCAACAAAUUAAAGCGACAGCAGAAUCAACUUUAGUUUAUAUAUUCAUGCUUUCUCACUUUACGGCUACCAACUAACUAUUUAUAUUACAGUCCAUUUCUCUUACUCUCCAUCAGCAAAAUCUGUGAGGAUAUUUUCAAAUUUCAACCUCUAAUUUUGUGCAUUAGUGUUAAUCCAAUUCCAAUGGAGUCAAGAGCUUACAUCCUUAGAUUCAACAUUGCACAUCUUUGCCUCUUGAUGCUAGUUUCCACUCUUUUCCCUUUGUGUGGUAAACCAUGCAUAUAAAUUAUAUGAUUAUUUCAUAUACUAAUCUAUCUAUGUAACUUCAGUUUAAUUUGUGUAGUAAUUAAUAAAACAUAUGUAACUUUUGUUAAAUUUGCAGAUGCUAUAAAUCAUGGAAGAGGUAGUAGAAGCUACUCCAUCAAAUCAUGGAAGAAACUCAAAUUUUCAUCAUUUGGCUACUCAGACUUAGAUUCUUCAUAUGGUACUCCUUCUUCUCAACCACUUCCACCUUUCAAUUCACUUGCUCCACAACCUACCUCUCUACCACCUUAUUCACCUGUUCCAAACCCACCUCAUGAUGUUUUUAGACCACCACCAAGUCCUAAAACCAUUGUUACAAUGUCGCCGCCGCCACCUCCAAGCCCAUCAAAACAUGUUCCAAGCCCACCUAAAAGUGUUAUAGGCCCACCUCAAGUAUACUUGCCACCUAUUGUUUAUCCACCACCACCUUCAACUCAUAAGAAGCCACCACAAUAUGCUAUUUGGUGUGUGGCAAAGCCUACAGUUCCUGAUCCUAUAAUUCAAGUGGCUAUGGAUUAUGCCUGUGGGUCUGGGGCUGACUGUAAAUCAGUUCAGCCUAAUGGGAUAUGCUUUCAGCCCAACACAGUGUUGGCACAUGCUUCUUAUGCAUUUAAUAGCUAUUGGCAGAACACUAAGAUUGGUGGGGGGACUUGUGAUUUUGGUGGUACUGCUAUGCUUGUCACUGUUGAUCCAAGUAAGUUUGCACUACGUACCAUAUUUGAUUACCUUUGUUAAAGAGAUUAAUUUUCAUAUAUUUCAUUUUUUUUUGUAAGUAAUUUUUCCAUGUAUUUCAUGUUCUACACUGUUAGCACAUUUACAUGUUGAUCUAAUGAUAAAAAAAAAAAAAAAAUUUUGAAUCGGCAAAAUAUUAUAUGUAUGGACCGUAAAAGUUGAUUAUGAUAAAAUUUAAACAGUUGAUUAGGAUAAAUAAUUUAAUUUUUUGGUACAAAUAAUAAAAUAAAUUUUAAUGAAAUUAUAUGACAAAAUUAACACUUCACAUGUUUCAUAUAUAUCGAGAUUCUUUUUUUGUUACAAUGAGAUCCUUUUAUUUAGCUGUUAGUUAAGUCAUUUCACAUCACAUCACAUACUAUAUAUAUCCACACAACAGGCAUAUGCCACUUGAUUUCUUUUAAAUUGGAAUCUAUCCGGGUAGAGAAAACAUGAAUUCAUGACAUCGGUAGCCGGCGUCUGAUUAAAAAUAAAGGUUUUUUUUAAAUUACCUUUAAAGAAUGGUGGGUAAUUUAUCCACCAACCAAUGAAAAUGAGCAAUUUAUUUGUGGAGUCAAGAUAGUUCAUGAAUAUGUGUUUAUGUGGCUAAUGUGUAUUGGUUGGGGUAAAUUACCCAUCAUUCUUUCAUGGGUAGCCUAGUUGCCACCAAAAAUAAAUGGUUCAAAUAAAUAUAUAUUUUAAUUUAUAAUUUAAAAAAAUAUCAAAUUUAAAUAUGAAUGGUUUAAUCUUGAUCAAACAACUAUUGAUGUGCUAUUGUGUGAUGUGUGCUUGAUCCCCUUUCUUCUUUUGAGGUGCAUUCUUCAUUGUCACACUCGGUGGUAUUAGAUUCGCGCACAGUCACUUAAAGCCCACAUUCACCUAUUCAAAACGUUGUUGACUUAUAUGGAUCAAGAUCUAAAGGAAUUUUAAGCUGGUUUUUAAGAUAAAAAACAAAAAUCAAACCUUAAAACCUGCAUUGUUCGAUCUAGAGUCAACGAUCACCGACAUGGUGAAAGUGAAUUUUUGUAACUACAUGGAAUGCAUAUUUCGUAGUCUUUUCAAUUUAGAACUAUGGAUUAUUGCUUCAGACUAACAUUUCCCUCAAAUCCUCGAUUUAUUUGGCAGGUUAUGACAAGUGCAGCUUCAAGUCGACUUAGCUCAUUGCUUGCUAUAAUACAUAGCAUUUGGAGACUUACCAAAUAUUGAAAACUUCUUGUUCCAAUGUAAUUUUUUAUGCAACGAUAAAUUCCCUUACUUAAUUAGAUACAUUAUUUGGAGUUACCUUGAUCAUAGUAUAUUCCGCCCUUGCUUAAUUUUGUGUAGUUCUAUAUAUUUCUAAAAUGGUAGGUUUAAUAUAUAUAUUCAUGACCAUAAUUUGAUAUUUAGAGAUGUAUGUAGCUCUAUUACGUUUCUGGUUCUUUAGUUUAAAACUUAGAUAAGCACCCAUCUUUUGUGUAUUACUAUCAGCGUUAUAAUCCUUGAAAACUUAGAUAAGCACCCAUCUAAAUGCAUAUAAGGUUAAGACAAUACCGACAUCAAAAUGCAGGUUGAAUACAUUAUCCGACUAAAAUCCAUUUCGCUUUCUUCAUGCAUGUGCUCUACAGUUAUCUUCAAUGAAUAAAACAGUAGUUACCUUCAGCCAGCUUGUAAUAUGUUGUCGCACCUGCGAAGCUAAUUUGCAUUCAAAAAAUAAGUGAGAAACAUUUUCCUGCGAAGCUAAUGAAGUGUACGGAAAAAUAAAUAAAAAAUUUACAUUUUAUUAUAACAAAGCAAACAAUUUACUCUAUUGCUUUUUUCUUUAAAAAAAAAUAAAAAAUUUACUUUAUUGUUUCGUGGUGUUUUUUUUAUUCAUUUACUUACUGAUAAAAAACUCAUAUAGACAAAAGAACUGAGUUAAGUGAGAAAAAAAAUGAGAUUAUAGCUAGUAUUGAUAUUUUUACUAAUGUAUUUCGAAAAAUAUUUCAUUCUGUUGGUGUAUAAAAAUUUACAUUAGAAGCAGGGAGGGAACCAUAUUUAACGGUAUAAGAUAGGAAAGAAAAAACAAAUUACUUUACCCAAAAAAAAAAAAAAACAAAUUUUUAUUUGCAAAUAUAAUGCACACAUGAAAUUUAAGAAAUUAUAUGUUACUUCCCUCAUUUCCUUUUUUUAAGUGUUUUUUUAGAAAAUUAACACAAAAAUCACGAAGUGUAUUUUUUGCACAUUUUCUUCCUAGUAUACCCUCAUUUUAAUCCACUAAUAAAUUUCAAUUGUUUUGCAAACACUUUAUCUUUCCAAUAAAUUUAAUAUGUUAUAUUUCUCUCAUUGUGAGUUACUAUUAUCUUUUUCUCCAACAAAUUCCUAUUUUUUUACAUGCACUCUCUCAUAACAAACAAUUGUCAAUUUUCUAAAUAUUGUGUACAUCUUUUCAAUUAUUUUAAGUCAAUAUAAAAAUUAAAUUGAUGAAACUUCUUCUUCUUCAUUGUCAUCUUGUUCUUGUUCUUGUAUCUUGUCGAAUGAGUUUUCAACUAUUGCUCCCUCUUCACAUCUCAUCAUCAAUUUCAACGAGUCUUCCACUUUUUCAUCCUUUUGAGCAUACUACAUGGAGUCUUUUAUUUUUCUUCUCUCAAAUCUUUUAUUUUACUUUGCCCUUGAAAUUUUUAACAAUUGAUACUCAUCUUAGUUAUCGAAUUUUAACUCUUCUUGGAACCAUUGUUUGUAACAAAAUUUUGUUUAAAUUUGAAGAUAACAAGAAACAAACUUUGUUUAAAAAAAAACUGUGUUCCAAAUAGAUAGCAUUAAUUAGUUUUAUUGAAAAAGCUAAAAGUAAUUGGCAAAGGGUAUAAUUGACAAAUCGUAAUUUAAAAUACCAAAAAGACAGUAAAAUAGGAACGGAAAAUUCACCAUAAAAAGACACUUAAAAAUGAACGGAGGAAGUAUAUCCAAAGUUAAUAUGUAUCGAAAAUUGUGUUCAUGUGUAAUUUAUUUGUUGUUUUUUGUUGCCGUUGUUUCUUUAGUGGCACUUUGACUCUGUAAAUACUUGUCGGUGGUUCUCCUUUUGCAUACCUUAUACAGGUUGAACCACUCUGAUUUUAUUAAUAUCUCAUUUUGAUUUGUUAAAAAAAAAUGUAUCUAAAAUUAUAAGAAAUUUCAAAGAUGUUAGAAAAAUGAGUUCCUUGAGGCUUCUUUGAGUGUGACCAAAGAAGAUUUUUUUAAUAGUAGAGAUAGGAAAUAAGAAACAACAAGAAUGUAAAUGUAGGAGAAGAAAUUCAAGAUAAUAUCACAAACAUUAGUAGUGACUGAAAGGGCGCAAACAACACCGCGUGCAAUAUUUCUUACAGUUUGAGUGAAAUUGCAACAAAUAAUCACAAAUUAAUAUUCUAGUUAAGGUUCUUCUAAUUGCAUAAAAAAAAACUCACUUUAUUUCUCAAUUUCUCAAUGUUAUGCAUUCUAGUUAAGGAUUUGUGUUAUUAAAAUUUGAAAGUUAUACAAUGCUAAAUAUACUGAGUAAAAAAAAGUUCAUUAUACAAAAUCAUAUUAAGUUCACAGAAAAUAGUAUAGUGACAAAAAAAUAAAAAUAAUAAUAACAUACUAAUAUGAAGGGAACCAUGGCCUAUGUUAGUCUCCGUUCUAGUUUCAUCCCUGAUUGCAAAGUAUAUCAUAAUGCAAUCUUGUGUAGCUACGAUAAGAAUUAAAUAUUUUCAAUUAUCUACUAAUAGUAAUGAUUAAUUGACAAUGCAAGUACUCUUUACACCUGCAUUGCAUAUGAAUUAGAAGUCACUUUGUUGGCAUAUCACUCCUCAAUCUUGUGAUCCUCCGUUCAAAACUAGCGGUAUGGUAACAAAACCCAUAUAUGUGGGUAUCCGUUUGAACCAAACUUAAAUUGACGGGUUUUUUUUAUUUUAAUUGGGUUUGGGUUUGUCUCGAUUUCAAAAGAUAGAUACGGGACGGGUAACAGGAAUAUAGGUACUCAUCUCAAACCCAUCCUGAAUGUAGAAAAUUAAUUUAUUACCCAUUUUAUAUAAAUAAAAACUCAAACCCUAAAUCAUUUCACUCAUACAAUCAGAGUCUCGGUCUUUCAGAUGACACAAUUAUCAUAGUUCUUUCUUUUCUCCUUCAAUAUUCCACACUCUCAGCCUCUCUCUUCUUCAUCACCAUAGUCAUCGAUCGUCGUCAUCUUUUUACUGAAUAAUGCAUUAGUCAUUACAACUUUGCGCUCGGGGAUAAAAAAUACUUUUAUUUUUAAUAAAAAAAAAUUAUCCACUUCGGGGAUGGGAAUGAGGCGGGGAUGCCCAAACCCGUCGGGGACAUGGAUGAGAUUCGAUUUCUCAUCUCCGCUGAAUAUGGGUAUGGUAACGGGUAAGUAUUUGAAAAUAUGGUAUGAGGACGGGGAAGGUAAAACUCAUCCUCACCCUACCCCAUUGUGAUGCCUAUUCAUGAAGCACAUAUAUUUAGGUAAAUAUUAGAAUAGAAUAACAUUGGAAUGAAAUAAUGACAAAAUUAUCUCUUCACAUGUUUCAUAUUGAGACUCUUUUAUUUACAAUGAGUUCCUUAUUUCGUCGUUAUAGUUUAAGUGAUUUCACAUCACAUACUAUACCCUAACAACAAAGACAUAUUAUGCCACUUGGUUUCGGUACACAUUUCAUUGUCACGCAUCGUCGUCUUAUGGUUGUUGUGCCUUCAAUUUAGUUAAAACUAUGGGCUAUUGCUACAGACUGACAUUUUCCUCAAAAUCAAAACCACCGUUUAUUUGGCAGGUUAUGCAACUUCAUGUUGACUUCCUUCUAUUGAAAACCUCUCUUUCCAACGUAAUUUUUACGUAGCAAUACAUCCCCUUUGCUUAAUUAGUGACAAUAUUUGAAGUUACCCUACCUUGAUCAUCAUCAUCCCUUGCUUAAUUGGUGACGAUAUUGGAAGUAACCUUCAUCAUCUUCUUUGUGGUUUUUCUAGGAAUUCUUUAGGUGUCUUCGAGUUUGGAAGCAUACAAUCAUUUUUGUAAUAAUUAAAAAUUAAAAUUGUUACAAACUUCUAAAACACGGAAGGGUGAUUGAGUUGUCCUCGUGGAGUCAUGUGUCCAAUUGGUUAUAUAUACAAUCAUAUUAUAAUAGUCGUAUAUACGUAAACAUUUUUUAAAAAAAUAUGUACCACACUUUAAAAAUUCACAUAUGCAUUAAUUAAUUUACUUUUAACCUUAUCUUCUAAUAUAUUAUUAUAAAUUAAUUAAUAGUUAUUUUAAGAAAAACCAAUAAACAAUAUAACGCAAACUUGAAACAAAGAGUGAAUCAAGGAGAAUCUACAAAAUAAGUAGAGUAAUGUAUAAUUAAUACAGAAAAAAAAUUAACAAAUAAAAUUUAUCUCACCUUACCAAUGGAGAUUUUAUCUAUUGGAAAUGGUUGAUAUACUUACAAUUAGUUUUCGACACACAUCGAAUAUGAUUAUCUCCAAUUUAUGUGGCGGAAAAACUUAUCACACACGUUAGAAAAAGAAAAAAGUGUUUAUUUUUCUAGUUCCAUGAGUUUCUACAAGGUUUUUUUUACUUCACUAGCUAGUGAUGACUCGCAUGUGAGAUUUGCGAGUGCAACUUAACAUAUGUGAUUUUGAGACCACGAGAGAAGCAUAUAAUUUUUUUUUUUAAAGUACUAUAAAAUAAUAAUAAAAUUUGAACAUAUAUAUGAAAUGUGGUUGUAUCUUUCAGCAUGGAUUAGAACUUUGUUUGUCAUGUUUAUGAGAGUUUAAUCUCUUGCGCUAAAUUCAACCUUAUUGGUGAAUCUAGAUUUUUUUUUUUAUGUAUAUAUGUAUAUAUAUAUAUAUAUGAUGUUUCUAACCUAAUUAAGAGUUAUAUGUUGUAAUAAUAUUAUAUAAUUGUCUUUUUACUCCUUUUCGAUCUUGAGUUAUUUUGGGACGGGAAAAUAUCUUUAUUUUGGUUUUCAUAUAACUAUUCCCCCUUUUUUGUGAAUCCAAAGCAUUGCUUGAAAACUUUUAUUAUCAGCAUUGCUCGAAAGUUGAAACUAUUCCCGCUGGAUUCAAAGUUUUCAACUUCACUAAUUUCUUUGAAAAGAAAAUACUAUAAAACUUCACUGACAUGUUACGUUACAUUUGGAAGCCAGUCAUGUACCGUAAUAAUUGAAGAAAAAAUAUUAUCAGCCGACACUAAAUGCAUAAAAGGUUAAGACAUUACCGAUCCAUGUUUUGUCGUUGAACAAUUAGUCAAAUGUUAAUUGGUUUCAUUCAGAAUUAAGUGUAAAAAAUUUGAUGAUGAUAAUGAAAGAGACUUGAGUGUAUUACCCGACUAAAAUCCAUUUCGCUUUCUUCAUGUGCUCUAGAUCUACAAUUACCUGCUACACAUUCCAAUGGAUAAAUUCUGGUAAUUAUAAAUGUGAUUACUUAAAAUAUAUAUGGUGGCUUCUUAAACUAAAUUAUAUAAAUUGUUAUCGUUAAAAAGCGACUUUUAGAGUUUAUAGCAACAAUCGUAUCUAUUUGUUCACGGGUUUUUGGAUUAAGUUAGAUUUAGGCUAUUGGUCAUUUCAGUCCACUUAUAAAAAUGGAAGGAUGGAUAUUAUUUUAUUAAUUUACACCAUUCGGAGAAUUUCCUUAUUUUGUAUCAAGUCAAAUAAAAAUUAUAGCCUCAACUCUGGCAAAUUAUUUGCAACAUGUUACCCAAUAGUCUACAUUAUAUAUCUAUUAAAAAUCUUAAUAUCUUGUACAAACAUUGUGUAUAAAUCUUUAUUCGAUCAGUUAUAACAAAUUACAUAGACAUAUAGUGUGUUCGAUCGAGAAAAAUAAAUAAAAGAUUGGACAUGAUAACUACAUUUAUACUAUGUGAUUGUAAAACUACAUCAGGAACUAGAUAAACUUAGAGGGUAAAGGACACGAUAAAAAUUGAAAUUAUUAUCAUUUACUAAAUCAGAAUACAACUUUUUGCCUCAAAUACAAGUGAAUAAAAUACCCAAAUAGACUUUUAUCCACCAAGGAUCGUCGUCUAAGAUAAAAAAAAUUGUUCAAUAUAAUUAAAGUUAGUAAUGUGUCUUAUGUCUUAUUCCGUGUUCUUAUGUCCAAUACUUACAUUUUUAGAUAAUCAAACGUAUUCAUCCUGUUGAAGUACAUGGAGUCGAUACAAGUUAAGAACACAGUGGCUUGGGUUAGGUGAUAGAUGUACAAUCGUAUAGCUUAUAGGUCAAUUCUAACAUGUUUCUGAAAGUCAUUUUGUAUGGAGGUGUGUUAUUUGAACAAUCAUUUGAAUGAUAACUUUUGUGACAACCACUAAUUUACAAAGGAAAGUAGAUAGUGACACGGAAACCAAAGUAAUAGAGAGAUAAAGUAAAAAAAUAAUGUGAGUAUGAAAAAUAAAAUUGUCACAAAAUGGUUGUCAAAAUAUCAUUUCUCUUUUGUAUAACAUGCACAAAUAUUUAAAAGAUAAAUGAUAUUUGUAUAACCAUUUUUUUGACAACUUUUAGACAAUUUUCUCUCUCAUAUUCACGUUAUAUUCUUAACCUUUCUUUUCCUUUUUCUCUCUCCUUUGUUUUUAACCAAUAAAAAGAGAGGAAAAAAAAGUUGUCAAGAAAGUUGUUAGCAAAUAGUUGUUCAAAUAUCAUUGCUCGAGUUAAAAUCGUGCUCACUAAACACAAAUGAUUUUUGACGAAGUUUUGUGUAGGCACAAGCAUUUCGGCGCACAUACAUAAAUCAAAAAAAUUAAAAGAUAAAUAAAACAGUCACAUCAAUCAAUAUCAUUUUAAUCAUUUAGUUUUUAAUUUUUUUUUAACUUCAUGGAUGCGUACCUAAAUGUGAGGUGUUGGUCAUAUGACCAAAUAAGAGAUUUUCAUGAUUUUUUUACCAUAAGAUCAAAAAGUUAUAUCAUAUCUCAUUUUAUUACAUUUUUUCUUUAAUGGUGGGGUUUAUUGGUUUCUAAAAAUAUAUCAAUUACCACCCUUUGUUUUCAAAUUCUUUAACCCCGUCACUAAAAACAUAAAAGUAUUUGGAGUAGGUUUAUUUUGUGAAAACAUUUUAAGUUUUCUAGAAUUUAUAUUUUUAAGCAAAAGUGAAUUGCAAAAAUUUAAGCGAGAUUUUUUAUCACAAGUUUACAAUUAUGGUGAAAUCGAAGAACUUAACUACUUAGGUUGUAAACUAAGAACAUUUUAUUAACAAAGAACCAAAAACAGGCAUGAUGGAGUGCAUAGACCAAAAUCUAAAGAAAAAACAUCAAACAGAAAUAAAGGGAAACUAUGUCGAUUAUUAUAACAACAAUCCUCUAAAAUAAAUCUAGGUGGAAGAGUCCACCAAAUAUAACGUUUAGAUUAAAAACCAAAUCCCGCUAUAAAUAUGAGAGAUUACAAUUAAUUGCAUUUGAGAACACAAUGACAAAGCAUUGCGUUGUCUUUUUUUUUUUUUUUUUUUGUCAUUUAGCUUAAUGGCUAUAGAAAUUCACCUUAAAGAUGAAUAAUUGAAGUGUCAUGCAUCGUCUGUUUUUUAAUCUCCACGUGAUAGACCGAGAAUUCUAAAAAGACUUCACCGAUAAUGACGGUGGAGAUUAAAAAACGUUCAUAAUUGCGGCCAACAAAACAAUUUGUGACUAAUAAUUCUAACCUUUUUAAAGAAAAACACGAAGUAGACAAGAAAAAGGAUGUAUCAAUAUGACAAUCAAUGGAAGUCCAAAGUCAACUCUAAAUGUUAACAUCAAAUUGAUUAACGUUGUAACUUGUAACACCUCGUUUUUUCAACUUAAAAAUUUCACAUAUAAAUUAAAGUAUUUCAACAUAAACAGAAUGUCACACUUCUUUUCAUAAAAUCAUAAACAGAAUAAAAUAACUAUUUAUCCUUCAAAUUCAACAGCAUAUCAUUUAUUACAUCGCAACGGAAUGUAUUCAACAUUUAAACAUCUUUUGCACCAAGGCCUCAACAUAAAAUCUCUUAAAGUUAUUCCAACAACAUGUUCAUGAAAGUUCAUAAAAUAAUACGUAAGGAAUAGAAAGCAACAACAAAAUUCUCAUCCCGUUACGUAUCAGGGCACCUAAGACACACGUGAGAGAUAGUCCACUCACGACAACAACUAACAGCAACUAUUCUCGAUCACCUGCAGGUUACCCAUAUGAAGGGUAACAAUUCCAAGCAGAAGGGGUGAGAUUUCAUAUUCAAAUAAUAAUAAGCAUAUAAUUCAUUAAAUGCAUUUAACAACUUAAACUUCAUCAAUUAAUAACAUUAACUCUUCUUAUAAUACUUCGUUAAUAACUCAAUCAAUUUCUAAUCAUCAUUAACUUCAUAUUCAUCACAUUAUAUACAACAUCAUAUAGCACAUAAUAAUCAGAUCAUAAACAUCAUCAUAUAACGACAUAAUCAUCACAUCAUAAACAUCAUCUUAUAACAAGAUAAACGAUACAUCAUAAACAUCAUCUUAUAACAGCAUAAACAACACAUCAUAAACAUCAUCUCAUAACGACAUAAACAACAACGAUUAAUAAAUAUUAAUACUUCACUUAGUUCUUUAUUAACAACUCAUUGACAAAUGACAACUUAACGACAACGACAAUGCGACUUCUACAUCUUAAACUCAACAUAUGCAACUUCAACUUCUUAAUCAUGCAUGUGGUACCAACCAGAGCAUCAAGCCCUCAACAUAAAGAGCAUAAAUACACUCACAGGGCAUCAAGCCCUCAACAUAAGAGCAAAAGCUCACAGAGCAUCAAGCCCUCAACUUCAAAUGAUUAUGCAUGGACUCAAAAACGUACAACUUAGACAAAUUCACAACUUAUAUGAUCCAAUAUCUUGGAAUAACAACUUACAACUUUACAACUUAGACCAACACUUGCAACUUAAUGACAAUAAUGGUUCAACAACAACAGAAACAGCAACAUAAACAUCUUGCAACAUAGCAACAUCAAUAAUAACAAUUUGAAUGAUAUAAACAAUAAUAAUUUCUAUAUCAUACAUUUUCAACACCUUAUAUAAAUAUCUUAAAUUAACCAACAAUCAUUAAUCAUUUGAUUCAGGCUCUCUUUAACUCUAUAACUUAAUAACAACUUCCAUUCUUAUCCAAAGAUCAACUCAAAACAUAGGUUAAAUACUCUUAAACAUCUUAAUUGAACUCAUAGUACUUCUAGUUUUGAGGUUUUGAAUUAUCCCAUAAGUUUUGGAUUAACUUAGAAAUGGUUAUGCUGAAUUUUCAUAAGAUUUCACUAAGACCUCUCUGGAGUAUUUUUUAUCAUAUCUCAAAAACCAAAAAUCAUUUUCAAAUCAAACCAAAGCCAUUGAAAAGCUAAUAAAAUUAUCUAAAACUUUCAUGUUUACAACUAGACACAGUUCAAAGCGGAAAGGGGUGAAAAAUAGUAAAAUAAGAAGGAUCUGAUUCACAAAAAUCGUGCCACGUUUUUAUGCCCAGAACCAUUGAACUUUCGGCCAACAAAAUUGUGCCACGCUUGCAAAAUCGUGACACGUUUUGACAGCAUCAGGUCCAGAAAUCUGCUUUUCAAAAAGUGCAAUUUUCACCAUUUCGCGCGUAAAAUUCAAACCGUUAAUCGGAUUUUGAUGCCGUUUUCGCCUACACGCUCCUGAAACUUGGCUCUAUCAUAAUCUACAGCUAUUUCAAGUCUCAACCAUCCCAAGAAUCAUUUUCCAAAACCUCACAUAAUCCCUUAUUUGCAAAAACGUUUAGACACCGACUUUUCAAGCGAAAAUCUCAAUUUUCAUCAACUCAACCCCAAAACUGGUUCUAAUCAUUGUACUGUGAAUAAUCUAAGGUCUGAACAUCGUUUCUUCAUUAAUUCAACAGGUUUCUAUCAUCUAAUCAACCAAUUACAACUUUUAACCCUAAUUUCCCAAAUUCCCAAAACUACAACCUACAACAUGUUAAAUCCAAUUUUCAGAAUUAUACAACUUAUAAUUAAAGAAUGUUAUCAUUCUAGGUUCUUCUCUUCUAUUGUUUUCUCCCUUUUUCUCCAAAAACUUGUUUUACGCGAUCCUUAUUUUCUAAUUCUAACUCUCCCCUUUUAUAUAAAUCCUUAACCUACUUAUUUUCUCUUAUUUCCAAAUCUACCCCCAAAGUCUCAAUAUUCUAUUCUAAUAUAUAUGUAUAAUAAAAUACUUCUAUAACAAAUAACAAAUAUAUCUCUAUAACAAAUAUAUUUAUGUACCAGAUAACAUAUAUAUUUCUUCACCAAAUUAGAUAUAUAUUUCUACACCAAAUAACAUAUAUAUUAUACUAAUAAAUACCAACAUAUAACAUAACAAAAUAUCACUCAUCAAAAUAAAUCGACUAAAUUAUAAAAAGACAUCUAAAUUCAAUAAAAUAAAUAAAUAUUAAAAUAGGGCGUUACAAACGUGCUUUCUAUCAUCGAUGAACCAGAGCAAAAUUACCAUUAGAUUCAAUCAAUGGUCAUGAUUUAUACAAAAUAAAAAUAAGAACAUUUAAGAAUUGCCUCGCACAAUCUUGCCCCUAUUAAACUUUUUUAUUUUUGGUAUUCAUCAUCUUCAACCUCCAUUCCAAUUUUUUCGUAAUAAAAAAAAAAAAAAAAACUCCAUUUCAAUUUAGGAGCAAUGCUACAAAAGAGAAUUUGCACAAAAAAUUGAGUGUGUCUUCAAAAGUUUACGGGGUUUGCUAAAAAUCUAGUUUAUGGGUUCAAUUGGAGGUGGUGACUAAUGAAAUUGGAGGUUUAACUCAUCCUUAAAAACCAGUUCAUAAGGUGAGUCACGCCCAGCACUCUUUGGGCUUACGUGAAUCGGUAGGUAUUUGGGCUUACGUGAAUCGAUAGGUAACUCUUGAAUUCGACAGGUUCUGAUACCAUAAUGAAAUUGGAGGCCUAACUCAUCCUUAAAAACUAAUUCAUAAGGUGAGAAUUGUCUCCUCUAUAUUAACUCUUAUCAAGAGUCUUAUCUUUUCGAUGUGGAACAUGAGUUUUUUUCAAUAAUGACCUUUAAAGUUUAAACACGCGGCAUCUUUGAAUUCUACAUAGAAAAAAAAAAUAGAAUUAUAGCGUGUUAUGUUUGUUUCUCUAGAGCAUGAGACAUUUCAUUGUUCAGUUUAUGUUGUCAUGGAAAGGCAUAUGAGUGAUGGGUGUACAUCAUCGAUCGGUGGUUUGAUUCUCGUGAAUAGAACAAAAAAAAUCUGAGCUCAAUGGUACAAAUCCUUACGAUGAAAGGUGAGAUAUAGUAGGAUUGUGUGUGGAUAGUUGUAAAUGUUAUCUUUUUUAAUUCUAGUAGAUCAAAAUUGUUAAUCUCAUUUCAUGGUAAAAAUUAAAUAGUCCAUUUGUGAGGGACUCAAUAGCUCCUUCACCUUAGACGUCACCCUUAAUUAAUAAGAAACUAACGGCGAGGGACUCAACUCCCUCACCUUAGACGUCACCAUUGAUUAAUAAGAAACUAACGAUUGAAGUAAAUAAACGAGAAAGAAACUCAAACUUCUUUCUAAACUUUCUUUCUCUUUCGUUCAUCAAGGAGGGGUGGUUUUUGACCUAGAAUCACCCCUCUACAUCUUUUUUCCCAUUUUCUUUCAAUCUAAAUAAGUGGUUUUCACAUACAAGUGUUUCCUUUUGUGUUUUUUGUGAUUUUGUCGUCUAAGUACAACGCUGUGUUGGUCGUCGUCUUGUGCGGCGUUUGAUUUCACGUCUUGUCGCGGCGUUCGUUUAGUUUCUAUUGAAAGAUUGACAUCGGUCAAUUAUAAAUCCAAUCAAUGAUUUGGGUGUGAAUGUUGCCGAUCUAGAAACAUGAGUAUUUCGGUGACUUAGAUUUAAUCAUAUUAGUUGUAGCAUUUUGUCAUUUUAUGUUAUUAACUUGGGUGCUGUGAGUUUGUUCGCAGUUUUACCCUUUACGUUUCUAGCGAUUUUUGUAUCUGAUGUACUCUAUCAAUCUGAAUGAAUGAAUAUCGUUUUGUUUUUAUUAAAAAAAAAAAAUAAAAAAAAAACUAACGGUUAAAAGUUUGCUCUACAUGCCUACAAUGAUAAUAAAUAGAGAUAAUUUACUACAACUUUUAAAACAAUGAUGCUCAUUUAUAGGAACUUUACCAUAAAUAAGUCUCCAAAGAAAAAAUGAUUUGGAUUGAGGAAUUGAAGGUUUCCAAAUAAGCUAUGUCCAUGAUUGAUCAUAUGCAGAAACUUGACAAAAACUAUCAGCAUCCUAAACUGAAAGAGAACCUGAUGAAGAACCCUUCUAAGCAAGAUAUUCAGUGGAAAACUAUACCCCGAUAUUUAUCAAAUUUCAUAUUUCACCAAUUCAACUCUCUCUAUCAAUAGUAUAUAUAUAAAGUAAGAUUUUUUAUGACACGUGUCACUUCCACGUUUAUUCGCAAUAUUUUUAUUUUUUUUCUAAUUUUUCAAAACCAAUAUUUAAUUUGGCAUAAAUAUCUCAACAAACUUUUGAUCUUAUCUAUUAAAUAUUUUACUUAACUAUUUAUUGAAUUCCUAAUAUUUUAUGUAAUAGAAAUAUCUCAACAAAAUUACAUACGAUACCCUUCAAUUAAAAAUCAUCAAUCAAUCAAUAGUAUAUAUAGUAAGGUUUCUUAUGCCACGUGUCACUUUCAUGUUUAUUCGCAAUAUUUUUAUUAUUUUUAUAUUUUUUAAAAUCAAUAUUUAAUUUUGUAAAAAAAAAAUCAAUAUUUAAUUUGGCAUAAAUAUUUCAACAAAAUUUUAACCUUAGGGAUGGCAAUGGGUACCCUAUCCCAAUGGAUAGGGUACUAUAGUACCCUAUCCAUUGGGUACUCAUUGCCAUAAAUGUAUUGGUCUAUUCUCCACUAUCAUAAAUAUAAAGUGAAAUAUAUUGAAUUGGAAAUGAUGAAAGUAGUAUUAAUUAGAGUUAUAAUUGAAAAAAAAAGUAAUUAAUAAUUGUAUUGAAAAGUUAAAUGCAUCAAGAUUUUUGAGACAAUAUUUUUUACAAAUAACUUAGUUAUUAUGGGACGGAGGGAGUAACACUUUAACAUGACAAUGAAAAGUAAAUUUAAGAAUUAAAAUGCAAGAAAUGAAGAGAAUGUUUCUCUAACACAAAACUAUUUUUUUUUUCUCUUUCACUUAUACACUUUUUUAAUGUGUAAAAUAAAAAAUAAAAAAAACUUAUGUAUAAUGAGACGGAGGGAGUAGUUAGUAAGAACAAAGUCGUCAAGGAACCAAUUAACUCUUGAUUUCACUUCCCAAAAACGUCUUGAUAGUGCUAUACUCCCUCCGUCCCAAAUUAUAAGCAAAAAAACAAAAAUCACACUUAUUAAGAAAACUAAAACAUAAAAAUUUGGAGUAUAGUUUUUUGUGUUUUCGUUGGAAAAAGUUUUAUAGGAAGAUGUAAAAACAAUUUUCAUUGGCUAUUGAUUAUGGAAAAAAUGAAAGAAAGAGAAAAUUGAAUGUAAUUUGCAUUUAAUUUUAUGAGAAUAACAAAAAAAAAUCUUGGAAAAGAUUAAAAUUUGUCUUUUUUCCUUAUAUUUUGGGACAAAGAAAAUGAAUUUCUUUUGCUUAUAUUAUGGAACGGAGGGAGUACUUGGUUAAGCUGGAUUGAGCAUUCAAUUCUAAUUUAAGGGCCUUUAAUUUACCUUAAAGAAUAAACAUAGGACAACCAACCACAUAAUUAUUUAUACCAAACAUUUUCCACCACGUGGGUGAUAUCUGGAAGAUGAGAGUCCAUUUAAGUGAGUCAAUGUGACGAAAAAAAAGAUAAAAUGGCAAUUUUAGGAUCGUAAAUUUCUGAAAAUAAUGGAAGUAGUAAUUCUUUUAACGUUUUCAUUGUUUUAAAAAAAUUAUCCAAUCAUAUUUUAUAUGCAAUUUUUGUUUUUUAGAUUAAUUAAACAAUAAAUUUUGUUAACCAGUGUCCUAAGGGUGAUGAUUAAGGAAUUCAAAUGUAAAAGUUUUGUCUUGUAAUUGUAGGAUGUUACAUUUGAUCAAGUAAUGAUUAUACUACUUUUUAUUAAAAACUUACUUGAUUUAGUUGUUUAACCAGUGUGAACACUAGUUAACAUUCUCCUUAAAUAAUUGAUGUUUCUGAAAUAUAAUAUAUAUAUAUAUAUAUAUAUAGCUCAGAUACAUCACUUAUUUAAUGAAGAGUUUUUUUUUUUUCCUUCUCUUAAUUAACGAAUAAAACUAACACUUAUAUAUCUACCAAAAAAAAAAAAAAACUAACACUUAUAUAAUAUAGUUCGGAUACAAUAUAUUUAUAUAAUAUAAUCCGGAUACAUCACUUAUAUAAUCAACAUUGCUAUUUACCGCGACAAGUUUUGUCCCGAAUGCAUCAAGAAUGAAAAUAAGCCAAUUAAAAACAGCUGUUAGUGGAAAUCAUGGGAGGUGGGGGAGAAAAAGAUGGAAAUCAUAAACUAAUGGAUGGAUGGCAUACAUGCCACAUGUGUCUGGAAAAUCUCGGGACAGUUUUAUUUCGUGUGAAAUAGCAUUUUUCCUUAUAUAAUAUAGUCCAGGUACAAGGCAACUAUCACCGGAUGAGGUUUUAUCUUUUUAUUAAUGAAUAAAACUUUUUUUAAGAAGCUAAAUGCAAAAUAUAUUAAAAACCAAAUUAGUUAAGCACAAGAUGUGCCAAACGAAAAACUGUGUAUAACGUCAAAGUAACAAACUCGAUAAAGAAAGAAACCACAAAUAAUAAAAAUCAAAAGCGAAAUUCAGUUUAUGUGUCUUUAGCCACCACAAAAAAUGAAAUUUAAUAUUGUCGAGAAGUUGAUCCUUAGAAGACACGUUGUUAUUGAAAUUUCUCGAGUUUCUCUCCUUCCAAAUUCUCUCCUUCGAAAUAACUCAAAGACAUGUCAGCACACCACUUUAAAACAAGAGCUAAUGUCCUUCCUGAAAGCAUGCGCGCCAAAAAAUUGUUGUGCGUGACAACCAAUAUUUGAUGGAACGACGGUAGUUUUACCCUACCAGAUCAACAAACACCCUACCAGAUCAACAAACAGGGAAAAUAAAUAAAAAAUAUUUUUGCAAAGUAAUUAAACGGAUUCUAAUGUUUAAUAGGAACCGAUCGAGGACAACAUAGAAAUCAUGCUGGAAUUUGAAGAAGAAAUACAAACCUAAUUAAAGAGAGGGGCUAAGUAUUUCCAAGCUGGAACUUGAAAAAGAAAAACCAUGCUCUAAUUAAGUAACUAAGUAAGGUAGUACAUUACAACAAUUGAGAUAAGUACGACACAUUAUGAUGAUUAUGACUUAUGAGCUGUUAAAUGAUGUUGUAGGAUUACUUUUUUCUUGUCAAAAAUAAAUAAAUGAUGUUGUAGGAGAAACAUUAUUAUAAACAUUAUUAUAACUUACAAGGACUAAUGUUUAAAAAAAAAAACUUACAAGGACUAAUAAUGAGACAGAACGAAAGUGUACGUGAGUGUAGGAGACACGUUAUUAUAACAUUUUAUAAAUAUUUAAACGUUGAUAAUAAUUUUGUCGAUCUAUAAACCACUACCAAUUCCUAGUUAAAUAUAUAAUAAUUUUUAUUAUAUUUGUUAGUUGAUGGUAAAAGAUGAAUAUAAUUUGUUACUAUAUUUUUUUUUGACAAAAUAAUUUGUUGCUAUUUAAAAUUCAUAAAUAUAGUCUAUACAUAUAAUUUUAAUAAAAAUAAAAAUUCACCCAAAAAAAAAUCAAAAAUUUCAUAAAAAAAUAAAUAUUGUUUAUAAUUCACGAGCGUUGUCGCAGUACAAAAAUGGAUAGAUGGAUACCCAGUACUAGUAAUUAAUGAAGUUAAUUGGUAAAAUUUCACUCUUACUGGUGGUUGAUGGUAGGGGUGUUUACGGUGCGGUUUGGUUCGGUUUUGAGAGAAAAAGUCAUCCAAACCGCAAGAUAAAAAAACAUGCGGUUUGUGUAACACCCACAGCUGACGAGGGCAGGGGAGUGGUCACCGGUGCACAAGGCACGCCAAUGAGCGGCUCCCGACAGCUUCUAGAGGAACCGAAUCACAUCUGAAUGAGAGGGAUCCUGAGGCCGUGUAGGUGUGGGACUACAUGAAUGAAGGAAUGCUUAUAAGAAUUGUUUGGUAAUACCUAUAUCAACAAGGUGCAUCUUCUUUUUGGUACCCUAUUCCAUAAGAACUCCACAGUUAAGCGUGCUUGACUUGGAGUAGUCUUUGGAUGGGUGACCUACCGGGAUUCCCGAUAAGCAUGCGAGUGAGGACAAAACACGCUGAAAAGACUCGUGUUGGUUUGUAGGGUCAGUCGACAAUGCUUAAAGUCGUCUGGGAUGUUACAGUUUGGUUUGGUUCGGUUGGCUUUAAAAUAAAAUCCGAACCAAACCAAACCAAUAUGGUUUGGGUUGUAUCGGUUGGUGCGGUUUUUUUCGUGACGAUACGAUUUUUUGUUUCCAACAUUAAAAUCAAGAUAAAAAGCUGAAACACAAUAUAUUUUCAACAAUGUUUUAAAUUUCAUCAAACAUUACAAUUUCAUUUUCAUUACAAUGUUUCCAACAACAUAAACCAAAUUAAAAACGCGGACAAAAAGUAAUCUUAUUUUGUAAGAAAUGCAAAAGACUGAGAUGUUCUCAUUCUCUAAAAGUUAAGUAGCACAUAAAUACAUUUUUAAAUAAAAAGCAAAUAAUGAACUUAACAAGAGAAAAAAAAUAUGACAUUUUAUAAAAGUUUUCAUUGAGUUUCUAUGAGUAUUGGUCUUGAUGACAUAUGUUUAAUUAACAUUUUUCUUAUGUUAUGGUUUGGUUUGGUUUUGUAUCUAUUUGACAGUCUCUUUGUACUUUGAGCGACCUCUUUAGUACGCCUUAUGCUAAAGAGGUGUCUCUCUUAUUGUGAAUAUAUAUCAUUUUACCUUCUUAAAAAAAAGUUAAUUGGUAAAAAAAAAAAAAAUUUCUCUCUUGAUUUAUAUGAAAUGACAUUUUUUUUUGGAACAUGGAGGGUAUUGAUUUUUACACCUUUUCAAAAGCCACUCAAGGAUGAAUAUAGAUUUUUCAUGCAUCAAACACAAGAAUCAUUAGCAUAACAUGCUUUGGAAAACACACACAUAUACUUAAAUUAAUGGUUGGAGUAUCAAAUUUAAAAAUAUUGUUGUCAAUACAUACCCCGUCAAUCCUCCUUUUUUACCCAAUAAACAUUGAAAUGUUGCUUCUUUCGUUAAGCAUAAAAACAUCAAAGUCUAGCAAAAUGUUGUUUUUGCGAUGACACAUUUCAUAUAGUUUAAAGGAUGCAUGAUUCGAUUACAAAAACAAAAUACUAAUAAUUCUAGCACAAAGUUUAAAGCUAAGAUUAUAAAGCUUCAUAGCAUGUGGAUAUUCAUUUAGAAAUAUAGGAUUAGGAUUGCCCCUUUCAUCACGGGUCUAAUAGCACCACUUGUCACUACAUGUUAAAAAUGUCCUCUAGUACAACACCGCUUUUUACUUGAUUCCCCUUGUCCAUGAAAAAAUCAAACAAUAUUUGGACACAAAAAUUUGCCCCCACUUUCCUUUUUCUUCUGCCCUAGUUUGUUUGAAAACUCAUAUUGAUCAAAUUUGGCUAUGAAUUCAAACAAAAAAUUCACUCUGCCCAUUGCAUGUGUGGGACCCACAUAUAAAUCCAUGAAGGAUUUCAAUGUCCAUCCAAGUCAAUGAUUCAACAUAUAACAUUGAAUAAUUUAAUUCCAAUUUGCAGUAUUAUGAUUUAGAUUGAUUGCUGCAAUACGGUCCGUGAAUGUAACUCACGAGAAAGAGGUAUCAAGGUAUUUUAUUUUAUUUUUAACAAAUAAAAUUUCAAGGUCUUGUUCACCAUAUAAACCUCCUCACUCUCACUCAAUUCUCUUAAGUGUAUGACUUCAUAGUAAACUACACUACUUUCUUUAAAACAUGGCUAACUAUGCUAUAGCCAAUGUUUUGAUCCUUCUCUUGAACUUGAGUACCUUACUCAAUGUUCUUGCUUGCCCUUAUUGUCCUUACCCAAGCCCUAAACCACCUUCACACCACCCUCCUAUUGUUAAGCCACCAGUUCACAAACCACCAAAGCAUUCUCCUACUCCUAAACCACCAGUUCAUAAACCACCAAGAUAUCCUCCUAAACCAUCACCUUGUCCACCCCCAUCAUCAACACCAAAACCACCUCAUCAUCCCAAACCCCCAGCAGUACACCCACCACAUGUUCCAAAACCACAUCCACCUUAUGUUCCAAAACCACCAAUUGUUAAACCUCCAAUAGUACAUCCACCUUACGUACCAAAACCCCCAGUUGUGAAACCACCACCAUAUGUCCCUAAACCACCUGUUGUGAGACCACCCUAUGUUCCUAAACCACCAGUUGUACCUGUAACACCACCUUAUGUUCCUAAGCCACCAAUUGUUUUCCCACCACAUGUUCCUCUACCUCCAGUUGUACCAUCACCACCACCUUAUGUACCAACACCUCCAAUUGUGAAACCACCAAUUGUUUUUCCACCACAUGUUCCUCUACCUCCAGUUGUGCCUGUAACACCACCUUAUGUGCAACCACCACCUAUUGUAACUCCACCAACACCAACACCUCCAAUUGUGACACCACCAACACCACCUAGUGAAACACCUUGUCCUCCACCACCACUUGUACCUUAUCCACCACCACCAGCACAACAAACAUGUUCCAUUGAUGCUUUGAAGUUGGGUGCAUGUGUUGAUGUGCUUGGUGGACUCAUACAUAUUGGUAUAGGUGGAAGUGCUAAACAAACAUGUUGUCCAUUGCUUCAAGGACUUGUUGAUUUGGAUGCUGCUAUAUGUCUUUGCACCA